GAAUGUGAAGAUGAUCUAGAUGGCUGAGACAUCUGUUACCCUAUUGAUCACUAGGCUUGAUUCGGUUGGUCUGGCUGGCUAGGUGGGUGUCAUCUUUCUCCCAUAUCACUCCAUGUGUGUUGUAUCCUUCCUGAAGCCCUGUGUUAUUUUUAAGAGGAUGACUUUCCCUGAUAGAGGAGGAUCAUUUGGUCAAGUAUAUACAAGUAGCUGGGCUUCCCUGCUGGAACCUCUAAACAAGCGCUCAAAAACACCUUCCAAGUUGACGCAUAGAAUUAAACAUCAUAUAAAUCAUAGUUUUCCCUUUUCCACUAUAGAGGAUCAGCUUGGUGUGGGG
ensembl:misc_RNA 7SK 7SK RNA